CACACCGCCCGUCACGCCAUGGAAGCUGGGGGGACCUGAAGCCGGUGGGCUAACUCGCAAGAGGGGCAGCCGUCAAAGGUCAAUUCAGUGACUGGGCG
rnacentral:rRNA from 1 species